rnacentral:rRNA from 1 species
UCCGCUUUGAGAUGGCCUCGCGUCCGAUUAGCUAGUUGGUGAGGUAACGGCCCACCAAGGCAACGAUCGGUAGCCGGACUGAGAGGUUGAACGGCCACAUUGGGACUGAGACACGGCCCAGACUCCUACGGGAGGCAGCAGUGGGGAAUAUUGCACAAUGGGGGAAACCCUGAUGCAGCGACGCCGCGUGGAGGAAGAAGGUCUUCGGAUUGUAAACUCCUGUUGUUGGGGAAGAUAAUGACGGUACCCAACAAGGAAGUGACGGCUAACUACGUGCCAGCAGCCGCGGUAAAACGUAGGUCACAAGCGUUGUCCGGAAUUACUGGGUGUAAAGGGAGCGCAGGCGGGAAGACAAGUUGGAAGUGAAAUCUAUGGGCUCAACCCAUAAACUGCUUUCAAAACUGUUUUUCUUGAGUAGUGCAGAGGUAGGCGGAAUUCCCGGUGUAGCGGUGGAAUGCGUAGAUAUCGGGAGGAACACCAGUGGCGAAGGCGGCCUACUGGGCACCAACUGACGCUGAGGCUCGAAAGUGUGGGUAGCAAACAGGAUUAGAUACCCUGGUAGUCCACACCGUAAACGAUGAUUACUAGGUGUUGGAGGAUUGACCCCUUCAGUGCCGCAGUUAACACAAUAAGUAAUCCACCUGGGGAGUACGACCGCAAGGUUGAAACUCAAAGGAAUUGACGGGGGCCCGCACAAGCAGUGGAGUAUGUGGUUUAAUUCGACGCAACGCGAAGAACCUUACCAAGUCUUGACAUCCCUUGACAGGCAUAGAAAUAUGUUUUCUCUUCGGAGCAAGGAGACAGGUGGUGCAUGGUUGUCGUCAGCUCGUGUCGUGAGAUGUUGGGUUAAGUCCCGCAAGGAGCGCAACCCUUAUGGUCAGUUACUACGCAAGAGGACUCUGGCCAGACUGCCGUUGACAAAACGGAGGAAGGUGGGGAUGACGUCAAAUCAUCAUGCCCUUUAUGACUUGGGCUACACACGUACUACAAUGGCGUUAAACAAAGAGAAGCAAGACCGCGAGGUGGAGCAAAACUCAGAAACAACGUCCCAGUUCGGACUGCAGGCUGCAACUCGCCUGCACGAAGUCGGAAUUGCUAGUAAUCGUGGAUCAGCAUGCCACGGUGAAUACGUUCCCGGGCCUUGUACACACCGCCCGUCACACCAUGAGAGCCGGGGGGACCCGAAGUCGGUAGUCUAACCGCAAGGAGGACGCCGCCGAAGGUAAAACUGGUGAUUGGGGUGAAGUCGUAACAAGGU